rnacentral:rRNA from 1 species
CCUACGGGUGGCAGCAGUGAGGAAUAUUGGUCAAUGGGCGCGAGCCUGAACCAGCCAAGUCGCGUGAGGGAUGACGGUUCUAUGGAUCGUAAACCUCUUUUAUCAGGGAAUAAAGUGUGGGAGGUGUCCUAUUUUGUAUGUACCUUAUGAAUAAGGAUAGGUGAACUCCGUGCCAGCAGCCGCGGUAAUACGGAGGAUCCGAGCGUUAUCCGGAUUUUUUGGGUUUAAAGGGGCGGUAGGUGGCCUUUUUAGUCAGCGGGGAAAGUCUGGGGUUCAACCAUCGCAUUGCCGUUGAAACUGGGGAGCUAGAGUAUGGUAGAGGCAGGCGGAAUGCGUGGUGUAGCGGUGAAAUGCUUAGAUAUCACGCAGAACCCCGAUUGCGAAGGCAGCCUGCCAGGCCAUGACUGACGCUGAUGCACGAAAGCGUGGGUAUCAAACAGGAUUAGAUACCCUAGUAGUC